GUGUCAGCCGCCGCGGUAAAACGUAGGUACCGAGCGUUAUCCGGAUUUACUGGGCGUAAAGCGCGUUCAGGCGGUCAGGCAAGUCGGGCAUGAAAUCUCUCGGCUCAACCGGGAGGGGUUGUCCGAUACUGGCUGGCUUGAGGGCAGUAGAGGGUGGUGGAAUUCCGGGUGUAGUGGUGAAAUGCGUAGAUAUCCGGAGGAACACCAGUGGCGAAGGCGGCCACCUGGACUGUACCUGACGCUCAAACGCGAAAGCUAGGGGAGCGAACGGGAUUAGAUACCCUGGUAGUCC
rnacentral:rRNA from 1 species